AGCUUGUUUCAAGGUGUCAUCUGGCAAAUCGCGCCGCUUAGGUACGCGUUUCUGCGAUUUGUUUAUCUUUUAAACAAACUAAGCAAAACUAAAGUA